CGUAAACGAUGAGUGCUAAGUGUUAGGGGGUUCCGCCCUUUAGUGCUGCAGCUAACGCAUUAAGCACUCCGCUGGGGAGUACGACCGCAAGGUUGAAACUCAAAGGAAUUGACGGGGGCCCGCACAAGCGGUGGAGCAUGUGGUUUAAUUCGAAGCAACGCGAAGAACCUUACCAGGUCUUGACAUCCUUUGAUCACUCUAGAGAUAGAGCUUUCCCUUCGGGGACAAAGUGACAGGUGGUGCAUGGUUGUCGUCAGCUCGUGUCGUGAGAUGUCGGGUUAAGUCCCGCAACGAGCGCAACCCUUAUUGUUAGUUGCCAUCAUUCAGUUGGGCACUCUAGCGAAACUGCCGGUGACAAACCGGAGGAAGGUGGGGAUGACGUCAAAUCAUCAUGCCCCUUAUGACCUGGGCUACACACGUGCUACAAUGGACAGUACAAUGAGCAGCGACACGGCGACGUGAAGCGAAUCUCAUAAAGCUGUUCUCAGUUCGGAUUGUAGGCUGCAACUCGCCUACAUGAAGCCGGAAUCGCUAGUAAUCGCGGAUCAGCACGCCGCGGUGAAUACGUUCCCGGGCCUUGUACACACCGCCCGUCACACCACGAAAGUUUGUAACACCCAAAGUCGGUGAGGUAACCUUCGGGAGCCAGCCGCCUAAGGUGGGAUAGAUGAUUGGGGUGAAGUCGUAACAAGGUAACCA
rnacentral:rRNA from 1 species